UACGUAGGUGGCAAGCGUUGUCCGGAUUUAUUGGGCGUAAAGCGCGCGCAGGCGGUUCGUUAAGUCCGAGGUGAAAUCUCCUGGCUCAACUGGGAGGGGUCUUCGGAUACUGGCGGACUUGAGGAGAGCAGAGGUGAGUGGAAUUCUCGGUGUAGUGGUGAAAUGCGUAGAUAUCGAGAGGAACACCAGCGGCGAAGGCGGCUCACUGGGCUCCACCUGACGCUGAGGAGCGAAAGCCAGGGGAGCAAACGGG
rnacentral:rRNA from 1 species